GUAGGUGGCAAGCGUUGUCCGGAAUUAUUGGGCGUAAAGCGCGCGCAGGCGGUCCUUUAAGUCUGAUGUGAAAGCCCACGGCUCAACCGUGGAGGGUCAUUGGAAACUGGGGGACUUGAGUGCAGAAGAGGAGAGUGGAAUUCCACGUGUAGCGGUGAAAUGCGUAGAGAUGUGGAGGAACACCAGUGGCGAAGGCGACUCUCUGGUCUGUAACUGACGCUGAGGCGCGAAAGCGUGGGGGGAGCGAACAGGAUUAGAUACCCUGGUAGUCCACGCCGUAAACGAUGAGUGCUAAGUGUUAGAGGGUUUCCCGCCCUUUAGUGCUGCAGCUAACGCAUUAAGCACUCCCGCCUGGGAGUACGGUCGCAAGACUG
rnacentral:rRNA from 1 species